CCCGGCGCUUGCGCACCGGGCUAUUGUCGGUCGUGCCUACGGCACU
rfam:Acidithiobacillales bacterium SM1_46 WOR1_30_36_101997, whole genome shotgun sequence.